AGAGUUUGAUCCUGGCUCAGGAUGAACGCUGGCGGCGUGCUUAACACAUGCAAGUCGAACGGGAAUUACUUUAUUGAAACUUCGGUCGAUUUAAUUUAAUUCCAGUGGCGGACGGGUGAGUAACGCGUGGGUAACCUGCCUUAUACAGGGGGAUAACAGUCAGAAAUGGCUGCUAAUACCGCAUAAGCGCACAGAGCUGCAUGGCUCAGUGUGAAAAACUCCGGUGGUAUAAGAUGGACCCGCGUUGGAUUAGCUUGUUGGUGGGGUAACGGCCCACCAAGGCGACGAUCCAUAGCCGGCCUGAGAGGGUGAACGGCCACAUUGGGACUGAGACACGGCCCAGACUCCUACGGGAGGCAGCAGUGGGGAAUAUUGCACAAUGGGGGAAACCCUGAUGCAGCGACGCCGCGUGAGCGAAGAAGUAUUUCGGUAUGUAAAGCUCUAUCAGCAGGGAAGAAGAUGACGGUACCUGACUAAGAAGCCCCGGCUAACUACGUGCCAGCAGCCGCGGUAAUACGUAGGGGGCAAGCGUUAUCCGGAUUUACUGGGUGUAAAGGGAGCGUAGACGGCGAGGCAAGUCUGAUGUGAAAACCCGGGGCUCAACCCCGUGACUGCAUUGGAAACUGUUUUGCUUGAGUGCCGGAGAGGUAAGCGGAAUUCCUAGUGUAGCGGUGAAAUGCGUAGAUAUUAGGAGGAACACCAGUGGCGAAGGCGGCUUACUGGACGGCAACUGACGUUGAGGCUCGAAAGCGUGGGGAGCAAACAGGAUUAGAUACCCUGGUAGUCCACGCCGUAAAC
rnacentral:rRNA from 1 species